rnacentral:rRNA from 1 species
CCAAGGCAACGAUGCAUAGCCGACCUGAGAGGGUGAUCGGCCACAUUGGGACUGAGACACGGCCCAAACUCCUACGGGAGGCAGCAGUAGGGAAUCUUCGGCAAUGGACGAAAGUCUGACCGAGCAACGCCGCGUGAGUGAAGAAGGUUUUCGGAUCGUAAAACUCUGUUGUUAGAGAAGAACAAGGGUGAGAGUAGAAAGUUCACCCCUUGACGGUAUCUAACCAGAAAGCCACGGCUAACUACGUGCCAGCAGCCGCGGUAAUACGUAGGUGGCAAGCGUUGUCCGGAUUUAUUGGGCGUAAAGCGAGCGCAGGCGGUUUCUUAAGUCUGAUGUGAAAGCCCCCGGCUCAACCGGGGAGGGUCAUUGGAAACUGGGAAACUUGAGUGCAGAAGAGGAGAGUGGAAUUCCAUGUGUAGCGGUGAAAUGCGUAGAUAUAUGGAGGAACACCAGUGGCGAAGGCGGCUCUCUGGUCUGUAACUGACGCUGAGGCUCGAAAGCGUGGGGAGCAAACAGGAUUAGAUACCCUGGUAGUCCACGCCGUAAACGAUGAGUGCUAAGUGUUGGAGGGUUUCCGCCCUUCAGUGCU